CAGCAUUGGUAUGAGAGAAACCUUAUGUAAAACACAGCUCCCAUGUACUGAACAGCUACCGAAUAUGCCAGAUGCUAUGCAACAUGUAAGGCUGAAGCUGCAGCUGGGUGAACCUCCGUUUCCUCAUCAAUAACACUGGGAUAAUCAUACUCCACAAAGCCUAAGGAAUAAGAAAAUCCCUGAAACGAAGCCUUCAUUACAAAGUCUGGCACUCAGAGGGGGAAGAAUGUUUUGAGAACUGGAAGUAAGAAAUUUCAGAGGAAUUGAGAAAUCAAAUGCUUUGGCCUUCACCUAAAGGGACAAGAAGGCCACUCGGACGGGGCAGGUCUCCCUCCAGGGAUCUUUUUUUUUUUUUUUUUAAACAAGUAUUCAUAUAUUUAUUCCACUCUAACACCUCAGAAUAGAGAACUGAUGCGCAGGCAUCGGCUUCUG